UGUUUCUGUAUAGCUCUCGAGCUCGACUAAGAGUUUGGAAGACAGCUUCAUCUCCACCUUGUAUUCUCAUUGCCAUCAUCACCUGUAACCAAUCUCUAAAAGUUGAUUAAAAAAAUUUUUAUCAUCUCUAAAAUCAGUUUUCAAUUUCCAAAAUUUAUGCAUGAUUCAUCAUAUCCAAAUUGGUAGGCACUUGCUAAGUAAAGAAGUAAAAGAAUUUAGUAAAUGCCAAAAACACAAUUAAAAACAUGAGGCACAUUCAGAAUGACAAAAAAGAGAAAGAGUGUAGAAAAUAAAGAACCACACCAUGUUUUUGUGAGUUGUAUGUUUAUUCAUCUCUAUGUUCAUUUAUUUAUAUACAACCAAAUGGAUGUAAAUAUGGAAACAUAGCCCACAUUUUGCCCCCAUUCUCUUUCAUUUUUUUCCUCUCUUAUUUUCAACCACACAAUCUUCAAUAAAAUAAUAUUACACGUAAAUCAAAAAAAUUUCUUUCUUUUUCAACCAUAUAUUCUUCAAAAAACUACUAUUCCAAACAUUAAAAUUUGGAAGAAAAAUGGGUGCCAAACGGGGGCAUAAUCUCCUAAAUUAUGAGAGCAAUACCACCUAACUACUGAAAUAAUUAAAUAAGGUACACCAAUCAUUCUAAAAUAAUUCAUCUACAAUUAAUCAACCGAUUUUUUACACUUCCCUUCAAGUUGGAUGGUAUAUGUUCACCAUAUCCAACUUGCAAAUGAAUUCUUCAAAAGUUUUUCAAGAUAGUUCUUUGGUGAAGAUAUCUGUUAUUUGCUCCUUCGUAGGGACGUAUUCAUACAGAUUACUCCAUCUUCUACUUUUUCCUUAAGGAAGUGUCUGUCCACUUCCACGUAUUUGGUUUGAUCUUGUCGCAUUAGAUUAAGUGAGAUAUUGAUCGCUGUCUUACUGUCGCAGUACAAUUUGAUUGGGAGUUUUACACUAACCUGUACUUCUUCCAAAAGUUUCUUUAAUCACAAUCCUUCACAGAUUCUUUGUGCCAUUACUCUAAAUUCGACUUUUGCAUUGCUUCUAGCUACUACAUUUUCUUUUUGUUUCUACAAGUUAUUUAAUUUCCCAUACAUAGGUACAAUAACCAGUUGUUGAUCUCCUAUCUUCUAGAGAACUAGUCCAAUCAGUAUCAGUGCAUAUUUCUACUUUCUGCCUAUCAUUUCUCUUGAAGAGUAGUCCCUUUCCCAAUGAACCAUUUAGAUACUUGAGAAUUUUAAAUACUGCUUCCACAUGAGCUCCUUUAGUAAGUGCAUAUGUUGACUUGCCACAUUUACUACAAAUGCAAUAUCUGGUCUAGUAUGAGACAGAUUAAUUUCCCAACUAAUCGUUGAUAUCUUUCUUUCUCAACUCACUUUCCAGUAUUUUUUGCCUUUCUUCAUGUAUCAAUUGGUAUUUCACUCGGUUUACAUCCAAACAUAUUGGUUUUAGAUAGGAGGUCGUGAAUAUAUUUUCGUUGUGAAACAUUGAUACCCUUUCUUGACCUUGCAACUUCCAUUCCUAGAAAAUAUCGCAUCUACUAGGUCUUUUACCUCAAAUUCAGUUGUCAUGUAAACUUCUAUCUCUAUUAUGUUGUCACCAGUUAGAAUUAUAUCAUUAACGUAUACAAUUAAAAUUGUUUUCAUUUCGUAGUUCGAUUGUUGGAAGAACAUGGUGUGAUCGAACUGUAUUUGUUGAUACCCCAAACUUUUCAAUACCUUAGCAAAUCGAUUAAACCAUGCUCUUAGUUAUUGUUUAAGACUAUAUAUUGAUUUUUUUAGUUUACAGACCCGAUUUUCUUCUUGUAAGUAGAAUCUUGGUGGUAGUGUUAUGAACACUUCUCUUUCCCAUUUUUCAUUUAGAAAUGCAUUUUUUAUGGCCAGUCCAAAUUGGCUG
rnacentral:lncRNA from 1 species